UCAUGGCUCAAUUGGAUAGAGCAUUUGGUUUGGAACCAAGGGGUUGCAGGUUCAAAUCCUGUCUUCC
rnacentral:tRNA from 1 species